rnacentral:rRNA from 1 species
AUUGAACGCUGGCGGCAGGCCUAACACAUGCAAGUCGAGCGGAGCGGCGGACGGGUGAGUAAUGCUUAGGACUCUGCCUGGUAGUGGGGGAUAACGUCCGGUAAUGGGCGCUAAUACCGCAUACUCUCAGAUGAGCCUAGGCCGGCAUAGCUAGAUGGUGGGGUAAAGGCCUACCAAGGCGAAGAUCCCUAGCUGGUCUGAGAGGAAGAUCAGUCACACUGGAACUGAGACACGGUCCAGACUCCUACGGGAGGCAGCAGUGGGGAAUAUUGGACAAUGGGCGAAAGCCUGAUGCAGCCAUGCCGCGUGUGUGAAGAAGGUCUUCGGGUUGUAAAGCACUUUAAGUUGGGAGGCGUUACCAACAGAAGAAGCACCGGCUAACUUCGUGCCAGCAGCCGCGGUAAUAC